rnacentral:rRNA from 1 species
ACAGAGGGUGCAAGCGUUAAUCGGAUUUACUGGGCGUAAAGCGCGCGUAGGCGGCUAAUUAAGUCAAAUGUGAAAUCCCCGAGCUUAACUUGGGAAUUGCAUUCGAUACUGGUCGGCUUGAAUUCGGGAGAGGGAUGCGGAAUUCCAGGUGUAGCGGUGAAAUGCGUAGAUAUCUGGAGGAACACCGGUGGCGAAGGCGGCAUCCUGGACCGACAUUGACGCUGAGGCGCGAAAGCCAGGGGAGCAAACGGGA